GACGAACCGUACGAACGUUAUUCGGAAUCACUGGGCUUAAAGGGUGCGUAGGCUGCGCAGCAAGUUGGGUGUGAAAUCCCUCGCUUAACCGAGGAACUGCGCCCAAAACUGCUGUGCUCGAGGGAGAUAGAGGUGAGCGGAAACUUAGGGUGGAGCGGUGAAAUGCGUUGAUAUCCUAAGGAACACCGGUGGCGAAAGCGGCUACACUGGAUCUCUUCUGACGCUGAGGCACGAAAGCUAGGGUAGCGAACGGG
rnacentral:rRNA from 1 species